rnacentral:rRNA from 1 species
CCUACGGGAGGCAGCAGUGGAGAAUAUUGCACAAUGGGGGAAACACUGAUGCAGCGACGCCGCGUGCGUGAAGAAGUAUUUCGGUAUGUAAAGCUCUAUCAGCAGGGAAGAAAUAGCGACCUUUGGGUCGCCAGACGGUACCUGACUAAGAAGCCCCGGCUAACUACGUGCCAGCAGCCGCGGUAAUACGGAGGGGGCAAGCGUUAUCCGGAUUUACUGGGUGUAAAGGGAGCGUAGACGGCAGCACAAGUCUGAAGUGAAAUGCCGGGGCUUAACCCCGGAACUGCUUUGGAAACUGUGCAGCUAGAGUGCAGGAGAGGUAAGUGGAAUUCGUAGUGUAGCGGUGAAAUGCGUAGAUAUUAGGAGGAACACCAGUGGCGAAGGCGGCUUACGGGACUGUAACUGACGUUGAGGCUCGAAGGCGUGGGGAGCAAACAGGAUUAGAUACCCGGGUAGUC